CGAAGGGUUCAAACUGGAAGAGCACAUGUGUUUGAUGCAUUGAUGAGAGGUUAGUCAAACAAAAAUUGAUCCCAGCAUGUCCUCUUUGUUCUGCCUCAAAUAAUAUGGUGAUUUACAAUUCGGUUUUUCAAGAAGGAAGAAACGAGAUGAUCGACGACAGUGACGACAGUGAAACGUCAGACGUCAGUGUGUCCAGUGAUUCUGAUAAUUCUGAUGAUUCUGAUUCAGAUAAUGAUGAGGAUCCCACAGCUUUUGGGAGGGAAGAGAAUGAGGAAGAGGAUGAGUUGGUCCAGGCUAUCGAAAACUCGAGAAACCACCAUCGGGGACAUCCGCCUGCCAUUCCUACUGAGGAGUUUGUUGUGAAUGUCUGUUUUCAUCCGGAGGACAAUAUCAUUGCUCUGGCUAAUGUCGAGGGCGAUAUUCUCAUGUAUAAGUACGAUAAUGAGGACAAUACGUUGAUCGCGACAAUUGAAGUGCACGAGAGGGCCUGUCGUGAUGUUCAGUUUAAUGCUAAAGGGGACACCAUUUUUUCUGUCAGCAAGGACAAGUCUAUGGCUGUCACUGAUGUCACCAGUGGAAAACUCAAACGUUUUUAUGAUAAGGCUCAUGAAUGUCCUAUUUAUACUACUACAAUCAUCAACGAGAAUGUUGUUGCUACUGGAGACGAUGAUGGAACAAUCAAAAUCUGGGAUUUGAGGCAACGUGGAUCGAAUCCAAUCCUUUCAGUGAAAGAGAACGGCGACUACAUAAGUUCGAUGAUAACAAACGACGAUGGAAAAUAUUUAGUCUGCGCCAGUGGAGAUGGUGUCCUAACGACCCUAAACGUUCCAGCGAGAAAACUUCACGUCCAGUCCGAGGAAUACGACGAUGAAUUCACAUCCCUGGGGCUGUUCAAGGGGAAUACGAAACUCCUGACUGCUAGCAACACUGGAAAGAUGUACGUCUUCAAUUGGGGAGAGUUUGGCUUCCAUUCCGAUGAGUUUCCUAAUUUAACGAAGAAAGCUAUCAACUGUAUUAUUCCAAUUACUGAUAAUGUAGUAAUUACUGGUGGGGAGGACGGAUUGCUGAGAGCCUUCAGUUUAUUUCCCCACCGAAGACUCGGAAUAGUCGGGCAGCACGAUUUCUCCAUCGAAACCGUGGAUAUCUCCAAUGAUGGAACAUUAAUAGCUUCAUCGUCUCACGACAACAUCGUGAAGUUCUGGAACGUCAAAUACUUCGAGACCCUGAACGUAGAGGAACCGAUUAAAGGAGGAAAACAAAAGCAGAUGAAGCACAAUUUACCUAGUAGUAAAGUCAACAAUGCUGGAGACUUCUUCGCAGACUUAGAAUAAUUAAUUAAGCUCUACGAUAAUUUAACUCAUGUGUAAGAAACAGCUGCGAGAUAACGCGAACUGAUGUCCUAUUUAUACUACUACAAUCAUCAACGAGAAUGUCGUUGCUACUGGAGACGAUGAUGGAACAAUCAAAAGUACGAUUUUAUCAGUGAUUAUUUAGUUUUAAAUUUUUCUUUCAACGCGGAAUUUACCACAAAUAAAUAAUCAAUGAAGACGAAUUUGUGUCUCCAAAUUUUGGUUUCGCAGAAUAAUUUUUCUCAAAAUUUGAUUAAUCCCCUUCCAUAAAUUGAAUUUGAAUUUCAUCUAUUUCACUCCAAGAUUUCCUUGAUUUCCCUUAUGUUCUUAAGAUUUUUAAAAUAUUUUUGCAACUCCAGGAUUCUAAAAGACCGUUCCGCUUUCUUCGACCCCAGAAUUCAUUGGUUUUCGAUUUUUUUUCAGGAACCCGAGAAAAAUGGAAAUUGAAAUUGAAUUGAUCAAUUCCUCAAAUAAAAAUGUAAAAUUCCCAAGUAUAGUUUUGGGCAUUCGACAGUCUUAAGGGGUCAUUGUCAAUAUCUUUUAAUU